rnacentral:rRNA from 1 species
CCUACGGGGGGCUGCAGUCGAGAAUCAUUGUCAAUGGGCGAAAGCCUGAACGUGCGACGCCGCGUGUGGGAUGAAGGCCCUUGGGUUGUAAACCACUGUCAGAGGGAAGGAAUAAGGCUGGCGACACCAGCUGAUGACUUAUACCUCAGAGGAAGUGACGGCUAACUACGUGCCAGCAGCUGCGGUAAUACGUAGGUCACGAACGUUAUUCGGAAUCACUGGGCUUAAAGGGCGCGUAGGCGGCUUGAUAAGUUACGGCUGAAAUCCGGCGGCUCACCCGUCGAACUGGCCGUAAUACUGUCGAGCUUGAGGUGCGGAGGGAUGCGUGGAACUUGUGGUGGAGCGGUGAAAUGCCCAGAUAUCACAGGGAACACCGGUGGCGAAGGCGACGCAUUGGCCGCAAUCUGACGCUGAGGCGCGAAAGCAUGGGGAGCGAACGGGCUUAGAUACCCCGGUAGUC